AUGCUGAGUCAGCUUUCUACAAGUGGAAAUGGAGGUGUCCUCUCUGGGUUCUCCAGCAGCAGAGCCCUGGCAGAUGAGCCUGCGUGCACUGUCGCUGUGCUGGGAAGCAGAGGCGAAGGAUGCAGAAAGGUGGUGAGCCUGGGCAGGGCUGUCUUGGUGCCAGUGCUGGGGCUGCAGCCCCGGAAGUGCCAUAUCCCCUGUGCCAGUGAGGUCGCGUGGAAGGACCAUGUCUCCCACAGGCUGUGGCCCAUCGUGAAGCUGUUGGAGCUGAACCCUGACCACCAGACGACAUCACAUGGCCGUAUUCACAUCUGGGAGAAAUUCAACUACAAAACCAUGAUGAAGUUGGAGCAAUGCCAGAAAUGUCACCUCUGCCCUGUAUCCUGGCUUUCUGGAUACAAAGCCAUAGGAGCGACAGUGUGGAUGACCCAGAGUUCCAACAACAUAUGGAUUCCAGCAAGUGAAAUCCCGAGGCAUUCGAAGAAGUCUCACAGGCGAGGAGAAGGUGACCCACAGGCUCGAGGGAACGGCGCCUGUAUCCGGGCAAAGUUGAGAUCCCUCCAAGGCUUUGGGCCGUGCAGUCCUCUGCCCCAGUGCACUGCUGUGGUGGCUCCCCGGGCAUCACUGUGCUGGGUGGGGGCGGCUCAGGUAACCAUGUCAAGACCCCAUCUGGACUGAGACCUGACCCUAACCAUUUCUUCACAUGAGUCUGCUCUGGCGAAUUACUAGAAUUCUGCCCUGAAGUGUGCUGGGAAGACCUGCAUUCUAGCACGCCUUUCAGAUCUCCUGUGACGCCUGCCUGUCACCCUCACACAUGACCUGCUCCUUCUCUUGGCUCCCUGCGUCCUGCUCUGCACCCACAGAUCUUUACCCAUGCAACGGCACCGUCAGGGCUGGGCUGUGUUUCUCCCAUGCCAGCUCACACCCAGCACUGGGAACAGGAGGUUGCUAGAGGUGAAUGCGCGCUAAGCUCUGGUCACUAACCCAGGGCACCCAGGGCCACACAGAGGGAGGGUGAUGCCACAGUAAAGGAGAAUCAGCCAUGGGCAGGCUGCAGUGGGCUGAGAGGUCUGGGCAGAUUCCAGCGCUGCCUCUUGGCCCCUGGUCUUGGGCGCAGUGAGAAAUACCUUUCUGUUUCUCUAACCUUCCAGCGGUGGCCCUGUACUCCGGUGACCUGCGAGGCUUCAUCUUAUGUGACCACUGGACUGGCCCACAGCCCGACGAGAUAGUGCAUCAGAAGUCACCAAGCGUUUGCGGGAAGGAGGACCCAGGUGGGCACAGUGCAGCACUCAGGGGAAGCCUGAGCCGUGGGGGAUCCACCACACGCUGCUGCCUGCACACCAGAUGGCUCCCUUCUGCCAUUGGCUGAGCAGACUGCAGCUCCGAGGCCCUCACUUGGCCUCAGGGCUUCCAGGAGGACCUGGACCUGGACAGGACUGCACAGCACUAGGCCGGGCUCUGUACCAAGCCAAACGCAGCUGAGUCCUGGAGACGCAGCAGCAAGCCCGGGCCACUGUCUCAGCCUGGGCUCCAGUGGCCGAUGCCUGGGCUGAGAGCGCCAGGCUCCAGGGCUGAGCGCUUUCCAUUGCUGGCUGAGGGGAAGCCUUGGCUGGGGCCUGCAGAGAAGCAAAGGACCUGGCCAGGCCGAGCUUCCCUCCAGGGCCACGCCUCCCUCUGUGGCUACACCCACAUGACAUAGCUUCCUCCCACUAAGCCCCACCACCUCCCAAUAGCACCACAGCCUGGGAACCAAGCCUUGGACACCUGGGCCUUUUAAGAGCCAAGCCUGGAAGGGACCUUCUUUAGUCACGAUUUCUUCAUAGAAUUUUCAUCCUCUGCUGAAGUGGAACAUUGGUGGACUUUCUCUCCCUCUCCCUUGUGAAACUGUCUAUGCAGAGGACCCUAAUACACAGCCCUAUAAACUGUGAGAAUAGAGAAGGCACUAUCCAUGGCUUCGCUUGGAAGCAUGAUUUUAAAAUUUCUAAGAAGUUGAAAGCUAUGAUAAUAACCAUGAAAUAGACAUUCAUAGAGGGACUGUGUCUAAAUGUUCUAAGGUAAAUCCAGAAGCAGGCUGUGUGUUAAAUACAACUCAAGUGAUUUGUGACCCACUGACCACCCGAGAAGUGUGACCAGCAAAGACUGCUGCUACCAAAAUGAGCAGAAUAACCAUGCACUGCAUUUUCCCUCAAUAAGACCUAACUGGAAAAUAAGCCCUAGCAUGAUUUUGUGGGAUGCUUGUAAGAUAAACCAUAACCCAGAAAUCAUUAUGCCCUGGUUAAUAUUGUCAGGCAGACAGAGGCACUUAGUACAUCCGUUACAACACACACCAGAUGUGCUGAAUUAUGAAAUAAUGUUACUAUAGUUAAAUAUAUGUAAAUGUUGGCAUUAAUACUAAAAUAAUAAUAUAAAUUGUAAUUAAGUAUUUGUAAUUAACAAAGUGGGCACCCUGGGACCUGGGGGAAAUGCCUUGCAAACAGAUGAACUUGAAGCUUGCUGCUGCCUGACCUAUCAGAUGAGGACAACACAACGCAGGAAUGACGUGCACACUGCGUAACAAGUGGGUGUGGCUUUGUCUAAUACACAGCUUCAUAAUUACACCAUUGUGUGACAGUGCAGCAGGAGCAGGCUACCCCCAAAAGAUGCGCUCAUCAAAGGACCGCUGAGACCCAGGCUGACGGUUCUACAGGAAGUAGGGUUGCAAGAAAUUCAGGCCAGAAUUUGGGAUUUGAAAAAAUUAUGCUGAUGUUCCAGAAGAUGACAUGACUGAACCUUAAUAAAAGGGAUUUUUUUCACAUGAAUAAAUGUAAUUUUUUGGCAAUGGGGAAUUUAACCCAGGGCCUCACAUAUGCUAGACAAAUGUGCUACUGCCAAAAUGCAACCUUAGUUCUGUAUAAAUUCUUCCUUGUUUGAGACAAGAUCUCAAUAAGUUAUUCAGUCUGCCUCAAAUUUGAGAUCCUCCUGCCUCAGCCUCUCAAGUAGCUGGGAUUACAGGCACGUGCUACCAUUCCCAGUUGCAGAUGGCUUUUAGACGUGAAAAAACCUCAUAAUAUACAAACCAAAUGUUCUAGGCUGACACCAGAAGCCAACAGAUACUUUCUGACAUAUACAACUCC
ensembl:lincRNA